rnacentral:rRNA from 1 species
AUUGAACGCUGGCAGCAGGCUUAACACAUGCAAGUCGAGCGGGGUGAUGGUGCUUGCACUAUCACUUAGCGGCGGACGGGUGAGUAAUGCUUAGGAAUCUGCCUAUUAGUGGGGGACAACAUCUCGAAAGGGAUGCUAAUACCGCAUACGUCCUACGGGAGAAAGCAGGGGAUCACUUGUGACCUUGCGCUAAUAGAUGAGCCUAAGUCGGAUUAGCUAGUUGGUGGGGUAAAGGCCUACCAAGGCGACGAUCUGUAGCGGGUCUGAGAGGAUGAUCCGCCACACUGGGACUGAGACACGGCCCAGACUCCUACGGGAGGCAGCAGUGGGGAAUAUUGGACAAUGGGGGGAACCCUGAUCCAGCCAUGCCGCGUGUGUGAAGAAGGCCUUAUGGUUGUAAAGCACCUUAAGCGAGGAGGAGGCUCUUUUGGUUAAUACCCAAGAUGAGUGGACGUUACUCGCAGAAUAAGCACCGGCUAACUCUGUGCCAGCAGCCGCCGUAA